rnacentral:lncRNA from 1 species
CGGAUGAGAUUGUCUCCACCACUUCCGCAGGGUUAUUUUGGCAAUGGGAUCCUCACAACCACACCAAUUGCUGUUGCAGGCGAUCUAAUAUCAAAACCAGUAUCGUAUGCUGCACAGAAGAUCCAUGAGUCAUUGGCGAGAAUGAACGACAAUUACCUAAGAUCUGCCCUUGAUUACUUGGAGCUCCAGCCUGAUCUCUCAGCACUGGCUCGCGGGGCGCAUACUUUUAGGUGUCCAAAUCUGGGCAUUGUUAGUUGGGUCAGGUUGCCCAUCCAUGACGCAGACUUUGGUUGGGGCCGCCCUAUCUACAUGGGACCAGGCGGAAUUGCAUAUGAGGGAUUAUCAUACAUAUUGCCUAGCCCAACCAGUGAUGGAAGCUUGUCCGUUGCCAUCUCAUUGCAAACAGAGCACGUGAAACCGUUUGAGAAAUUCUUCUACGACUUCCCUGGUGAGUCACCAUGAAAAAUGUGCAAGCUUGACGACUGAACGGUCGGUUUCUAAUACCGAUAGAGAAGAACUUUCAUCUUUCCUUUUAUCCAGUAUCCUUGAAGAAAUCUUUUGCGCAUGUUAUUCAUUUGUCAUGCAUAAGUGCACCAAUGCAGCUGUAUGCCGCAAUGGGGUCGGGUGCAUCGCACAGUACUCAGAGAAUUUGUACUAUAUUUUGAUGUUCAAUUUAUAAUAUAAAGCUAGAUAUGCUUUUCUGCUUUUGAUUCCUGAGAUCUAUCGUCAUGGAUGAGGUGUUAAACUAGGUGUCAAUGAACAACUCGACCAGAGAGCUACUGACUCCGUAAGUUCUUCCAGGUCUGUGAAUUAUGUCCACUUUCAGCUUUCACCUGCCGAAAUGCAGAUGCAUCAUUGAAGUUGGAAGUUCUCGGAUUUGAACGUGUGGCUUUGCCUUCAUUUCUAAGAUUGCAUUUAAAUACCGUAUGGUUGGUUGAGCUUUUCCUGUGAUGACUUAGAAGCGGUAGGAAACUCGGCCUUAACCAUCAGUGGGGCCGGUAGGUCUAAAGAAAAGGGAGCGACAGAAAGAAACCUGGUAUGGAGAAUUAAAUCAUCAAGGUUAAGAGCUAAGAUUCGUUUCCCAGAAAGUUCUGCUCAUCACACAAACAACCAACCGCCAAAACUUCACUAGACUAUAACAGCAGCCAAAUUCCCGAAGAAGGCAAUAUUGACAAGCAGAAACGUGAGGCUGAGAACGGAUGCGGUCCCAAAUUAAAGGUAUUAACACGAAUCCACAAUUGAAGCCUUGACCUCAUUUCUUAAGACCGUAUAACAUCCAUGAUUUGGAAAGGCUGACGCCCAUGUACAAAUGGACGGUGGGAUGCUUCUUUAAGGUCAACAGCUGACGCAGGUCUUUGCCGGAGGAGGCGUUAUUUGUGAUCUGCCAUGGAUAAACUUGAAAUGCUGCGAUAUACCAAACAAUUAAAAGCAUAAGAUCGCUGGCAUUGGAACAAGCAGAAAUAUUUCACAUUUUAAGAGCAUAUUCAGGUGCCAGAUUUUCUGUCUUUGUAUAAACCUUCAUCACUGUCCUUUCAACUCAGAAACCCCUCAAACCACCAAAGAGAAUUAACACAAAAACUCCUCCUACUAAUGGUAACAGCUAACUUGCGAAGAAAGAGAAAGCCGAAGCUAUCAAUGAAUCUGGAAGCUCUCACUUUGGAUUGUUCAAGGCCUGCCGACAUGCUUAGAGCCUUUCUACAUGUAUGAGGAGAAAUUGAUGCCAAUUACAGACAUUAACCGCCAUGUCAUUGCCCGUGACAAAUAUUGCUUUUUCCUCUCAUUUCAGCUUUUAGGCAUUAUUUGUCUCUAAUGUUCCAAAAGAGAUGGUGUAGUAGAUAGCAAAGGAGUGUGAAGGGCUAACCGGGAUUACUCUGUGUUCACUGGCUUACUCUUCACAGAUAAUGAAGGUUAACCACACAAUUGGCGAAGUUCUACACAGUCGUCUCCUAGUUCUUCUUUUCUAACUUAAGUGCAAAACCUAGACAAUGUUGAUCAAGAGUAUCAAGUAGAAAUCUAAUCUUUCAAGUAUUAUACAUAAAGAUGGUUUCAAAAAGUAGCUCUAGGGUUGCACAUGACAAAAUUUAUGUUUCUCUAUUUCUUUAUUUUUAUGUUUACUGGAAUAGGUAUGGAACAGAAAUCUGUUUAAUAACAUAAUUUCAUUUUUCUAUUUCUGGAAUAGAUUUCUAUUCCAGAAGUAAAUUUAGAGCAAAAAUUAAAAAUUAAAAUUUUUAGCUUUUUUAUUUAUGGAACAAAAGUGAGAAGUCCUUGCCCAUCAAGAAGGAAGUGGCCCAACAGAGGUUUUCUCCCCAACAUCUAUUGCGUUAAGGCAAAUUGCAUCUAGCCGCCCAAAAGAGAGCAAUACUAGCCAUAACAGGACAAUAAAAAAAUAGAUGAUCCAUGGAUUGAUCAAGUGCAUCCUUGGUAUAUGUUGUCUUGUAAAUCUCAUAGGAUUGAUCCAAAUGUUUACAUAGUUAGGGUUUUCUUUUUAAGAUUUAAAGUAAUAUUAAGAUCUUACAUUUGCCCCCUUUCUCUUUCCGAGAGCGUUGAAAAGGCUACACCUAAUUAUCGAUGAACUUCAGAAAUUAAAUCGGAUGCUAUUCAGAAUUCAUCGUCUAGAAUAAUUUAUGAUAGAUGAAAGAUUAAAUUUUCUUCGAGGAUUGUUUAUCCAAGUGGAUGUGGGAGAUCCUAAACCCACUCAAACCGUGCGCCGAGUCCAGCAGCUCAUCAAGCCCAAGUUUAUUCUAGAUAUAAUCUGUUUGCUUUCUUUAAGAAAAAAUAACCACAUUUCGUAAUUUAAGAAAAGAAAAAGUACAAUAAAAUAGUUCUUCUAAAGACUCUGAUCUUAACUAGGAUGACAUUAUUAACUAUUUUAUUGUGCUUUUUCAUAAAUGGUCCUUACUUAACCGUUUAUCAUAAAUGGUCCUUACUUAUAUGCGGAAACUCUAUCAAAACUAACCUUAACAUCACUUGUUGACUAAUGUUAUAGAUGCAGCUGUUGUGCCUCUAAUGUUUAUAUUGAAUGGAGCAUUCCGCAAGAGUGCCUUACCCUACUAAAGUGAUUUGCAAGGGAAAAUAGCGACUACUAAGACAAAAAUAUGAUAGAGUCUGGUUGAAUGUUUCAAUAUGACCCAAUUGUUCCAUUGUCUACAUUCAUUUGUGUGAAAUAUAAAAUAUCCAAGUAUUUAGUCUCCACUAAUCUAUGUGAAUGUACAUAAAUCACUACAUCCACAUAUGUUGACUAAGAUUCUCUACAUAUAGAGUGGUCAGUAGAGACACCUCCCCAAUUGUUAUUCAAAGUAAGGAAAUGUGCACCUUUCUCAAAUGCUUGUUGAUUUUUUUAACCAAACCGUCAAAGGUAAAAACUAAUGAGUAUUACACAACUUUAUACAAAAAAAUCCGAAAUUUAAGUGGUUAGAUAAUGACAUAAAUUAAAUUAAAGAGAUGCUCUAGUCAUGACUAAUCCCUGUCCAAGCUCAAGAUUUUAACCCUUCGACCCGUGCUAUAUCUUUGGGCUAGGAUUAAGAACAUUAGAAGUUUGAUUUCUUUGACAAAGCCAUGACACGAGACAUGGCAAACAGCAAAGGGCAAAGAGCAAAGGCAUGCCGAACUCUCCCAAAAGGCCCACCCCCAAGGGCCCAGCAACGGCCCACAGGCCCAUCCCGGUUUAGCCCUCUGCCUCUCGCCCUAUGAAAGCCCAAUCAAAAACUCCAGCCACAAAACCACGUACUUAGAUAUGAUUUAAAGUGAUCAAAAACCCUCAUGGAUGUGCCUAUUCACCUUUGUAAAAUUCACCUUUGUAAACUCAUUUAUAGUUAAUCAAUCCUCAUAUCCCUAGAUACUCCGAGUGCAUCGCCUAUUUCGAUAUGACCAAACCGUGACUCAUUGUGACGAUACAGAAGGAUGAACAAUAAAAGUAAAAUAAAUAUGAAAAAAUCAUUUACUCUCUCUUUUUCUGAGCAAUUUUACUGGGUAAUCAUCGACAUGUUUAUUAUGUCUACAGAAAUUUGGUUUGAGAACUAAAUUGAAAAAACAUGGAUUUUACUAGUAUAAUAGAUUUUUAGGUACGGUGAAAAUAACAAUUUACUGUGAGUCACAAUUUUUUGAAUGAAUGAAUCCCAAAAAAGAAUUUAUAAUUAUUUAUAAUUUAAUUUUUUGUGAUAAAAAAAUAUAUUAUUAAUAUCACGCACUCAUUUUUCAGAGAAGAUAUGUUCGUUACGUUUCGGGACCGACAAGACAACGCACUCACUUUUCGGAUAAGACAUUUUCAUUACGUUUCGGGACCGACAACAUUUUUCAGAGAAGAUAUUUUCGUUACGUUUCGGGACCGACAACUGACAGCCCAUGUGAACGAACGGAUACAAGCAGGUACGCCCGCUCCUACUCUGGCGGGGGGGUAAAGCUAUGUCCGUGCAAUGGGCAGCAAUCCCAGACGGGGACCAAGAGCCCCAGAGCUAGGACGGCGGUGAAGACGACGGAUCUUGCACGCCUUUUCUUCGUCAAUUGAAAAAACUCUAUUAUCUCUUUCUCUCUCCAUCAUCCUCUUGAGUUUUUUCUGCACUGCAGCACCGACAGCGUUCGCCUCCACUGAAGCUCGCAGGUGAUUCUUGGUAUGUUCGCAGGAAACACUUUGUGUAAGCGGACAGCUCUUGCGUUUCUCCCUCUAUCUUCCUUUGUUCGCAUUUCAUCUGGACACGUUGUCAGUUCCCUUGCCGCCGUUUGUAGGCAGAUCACGUCGAGGUAUCACAGGUGGUCGAUGCCUUCAACUUGUGUUUUUAUUUUUUUACUUUUUCAAAGACCCUUUUGUUGAGCAUGGCAACGAAUUUGUGAGUCAAAUCAUUGCAAGAAUUUCCGUUUCGUUUCGCGUUUUUUGACUGGAGUUGACCUGUUCAAUGAACUCCCAACGCAGUCUUCCUCUUCCAGCUAAUUAUUUUCUUAGAAAAAUUGUGAAUUUUGAUUAGUGGGGGUUGGUCUUGUGGCGUCUUGGUCCCUCUCAUCGGCUCAUUGAUCCCUUGGUCUCCCGACUCGUACAUCUGCGGACCAUUCGAUUAUCCUCUUAAAUUGCUCAUCACAAUCUGCAUCAGAAACAUUGAGAAAGAACCUCGAUUAACCAAGAGUAUCGUGACCCAUGAAGCACAGUAAAAUUCAGAAGUCUCUUUGACAAAAUAAAAAAUGAAAAAUAAAAAAUGCGAGAAGUCACUAAAGCCUUGUUUAGUGAUAGUGGCGUAGCUCUUAUGUCACUUUCAGAUGCUGACUAUGGCGGCAGAAUGCAGAAAAUAAUUGGAUAAGAUGCUGAUACCAAUAAUCAUCAUCAUUCCUUUCACCAUUUCAGCAAAGAAAACCGAGAAAAAUAACCCAAAGAACCAGACCCGCCAUUCCUUUGAAUCAGAGCAGAGAGUUUUGUGCGUAGUUCAGUUCUCAACCCCAAGGAAGCUCUUGAAAAUGAUAUAUCAUCACUCACUUGGUGAAAAAUAAGCUAGAGAUUUGUUCUUUUUUUUUGGGUACCAGAACAGAGUCGACAAGAUUGCUAUUGGACAUAUCAUCAAUGAUGCAUAAUCAAGUUAAGCUUCAUCUUUGCAUCAUGAAUGACUUUCUUCGAGGUGGAAUGCUGGCUUACUUCAUAUGCUUCGUUGAUCUGAUGAAAGUGCACCUUGCAAUUGCUUCCUCUGCAUACGUCCGGAUGAUACUGAAAAAGGAACAUAAACAAAGCCAAAACCCAUCAACGAUCUUGAUCAAAAAGUGGCAAUCUGUAACGGCAUAGCUUACAACUUUAACUACAAGAAAAACCAUUCCCCAAACCAAAUCAUCCGAUUCAUAAUUGAAUUGAGACCUGCAAAGCAAGCUGUCUAAAGGCCUUCUUGACCUCAGAUUCAGAAGCACCGCGAUGAAUUCUGAGUCUUGUAUGGAUAUACAACGGAAGAAGAAUGCGAGCAAGACUCUCUAACCUCAUCUUUACAUGCCAUCCUCUUCUUCAUCAACGUCCUUUCAUUGUUCUUGAGUUGGAUCCAAGAUGACCCAUUCUUGCCCAUCAAACCAGCAGCACAAGCCAUGCCUCACAAAUGAUCUUAGACUGGAGAAAAUGAAAAGCAACAGAUAUCACGAGUACCAAAGAUACCGCAAUCCAAGCACCCACAAUAAAUCUCCCCCUUUAAUAGACACAAAACAGCGAAAAAUACAGAAGGCUUCUGCUUGCGGUUGUGGUAUUUGAACUUGGAAGGUGGGUUCUUAAGGGUGCAUGGUAACGCUUUUGUUUCAAGGAACAAUUUCUUUUCAGAAAUAAUUUUUUUCUAUUUCUAUUCUUGGAACAAUUUCUCAAUAAAAGAAUGUAUUUGGUAAUUACAUAAAAUUUAUAUUCUCAAAAUGAAAAAAGAAUAGGAAUGUGUUUGGUAUGAUUGACAAAAUUCUUUGUAAUGUAUAAUUUAUUUUAAUUUUUAUUAUUUUUCCUUACCGCGGCCGACUGCCGGCCGAAGAUGGUCUGCGGCGGCGGUAGCAAUGGAGGGUGGCGGCAACGAUAGUCAUUGGCGAUAGCGAUCGGUCAGUCGACGUGCAGCGGCGGUCAUCAUUGGUGGGUGGCGGCAGCUGACGGCGACAACGGUGGCAGCAGCCUCAUUGGUCAUCGGCGGUGGGCCGCAGCAAGCGAUGGCGAUGGUAGUCGCAACGACAAUGGUUGGCUUGUGGCGGCAGUGGUUGGCCUAAGACAAGUAGCAGAGGGGGGUGGCGGCUGGCAAAUAAGAAGAGAAAAAGAAAGAAUGAAAGAAUAAAAAAGUUGCCGAUGAAUAAAUUUGGAACGGAAAUAAAAUGUAGAAAAAAGCAACUUAUUAUUCUCGAGAACAAUCUCUAGAAAUAAGUUUUUUUCUUCUUUCUUUUUAUUUUCUUCUUAUUUGCCAGUUGUCGCCGCCCCCGUUGUCAUCGUCACCUGUCGUGGCCCACUGCUAAUGACCAUCGAGGCUGCCGCUCGCCAGCCAACCGAUCGACCACCAGCUAUCAUCGUUGCCAUCCACCACCAAUGACCGUCGACGCCAUCGCCUAUCGACUAGCCAACUGAUCGCUGCCACAUCUGACCCCAACCACUACUAACCGUCACCAGCCUCCACUGAUCACGCCACAAUUGAUGGUAGAAAGCGACGAUCGAUGUCAUCAGCGGUCAGCAAUGGCUGGGGUUGGCAGCGGGUAGCGACGUUCGGCGACGGCAACAGAGGUUGGAGGCGGUAAGGAAGAAUAAAAAGAAUUUUUUUUUUAAAAUUACAUUACAAAAAAUUUUGUCAAUCAUACCAAACGCAUUUUCAUUUUUUUUUCAUUCCAAAAUAAAAAUUUAUAUUGUUAUCAGAUGGUUCUUUUAUUGAGUAAUUGUUCUGAGUAAUAAAAAUAGAAAUAUAUUAUUUUUGAAAAGAAAUUAAUUUUCAGGACAAAAGCCUUACUAUACGCGCCAAUGGACAGGAUGGAAUGGAAACGCGCUUUAAUAGGAAGGGACGAGACGUUGAGAGCAGGAAAGGAGACGACCCUUCGCUAGGCUUGACUGGCACUGUGAAUGUUGAUUUGACGCUGCCUAUGGGCAGCCUCCAUUAUUGUUGUUUAAUGAUGACUUCGCUUUUAAUCUUGGGUGCCAUUUACUAUUUAAAUAAGGCAAACCGCACAUAUCUCAACAUGCUUUUACCAUUCAAGAAAGAGAGAGAUGUUGAGUUGUCAGUACAGAUAAUGGUAGUGACAUGGAAUUGAUAUCAAGGUAGAAUUUGGCACAUUGCUUUUGUGAAUCAACUUUCUGAAUAAUUAUUUUAAAGAGAUGAUAGAGUAAAAGAGGAAUUUAACAUAUAGGAUCCAAUCUUGUAACAUGAGAGAUGUGGGAUUGAAUUUGAUAUUAGCUUUUUAUCUGGUUACGAAUGAGGACUUUUGCUACGGACUUAUUUGGGGUAUAUAGUAAUUCCUACCACCUUCUUAAUAAGAUUGAACCUUUAGUUAUUUUAAGGCAUCAUGAUCGUUUAGUUCAUUUUUUUUAUUAAUUAAUGCCGUUAACCAACUUCAUGUUUACCACAUUGUCAACUUCUAAUACGAACAAACUUGUUCGGUCUUUUAUAUGCAAACAAUCGUAUUCAUUCACAAGCAUUCACAUGUUUGGUUGUGCUUUGAAUUGGCUUGAUAUUUUCUCUAACCUUCAUUUGGAGUGUCUUCUCCAAAAAAAUUUGUCAUUUGAACAGAAUAGUUUACCGACCAAAAAAAAGAAAAAGAACGGACUAGUUUGGAGCACAUUCAUAUGAUGGACCCAAAUUUUCUCAUCUUAGAAUUAAUGAACAAAGGGGGAAAGGUGGAAUGCAAGUAGAGAGUUAGAUAGAGGGGGAAUCAUCAAAGGAAUCGACAAGUUUUCUGGUCAUACUUGACUAUUCCAAAUGAGAUUUUAUAACCACUGGGAUUCACCCCAGUGGCCACUCUUCCAAUAUGGAAGGGGGAGAUGAGGGGUUCAAAUCCCCACAUUCUCAGGGGGAUGGGGUGAGGUCGCGUAAGUUUCAGAAAUGGGUUUCGACUCCCACACUCUACAAGAGGCAGGGCAAAAGUCUGAGAGUAAGUAUAGAGUAGGAAUAGAGUAGGACUAAUAAAAAAAAAAUGAGAUUUUAUUACGAAGCACUAUCGGCCUAUUUAAUAACAUAUCAAAUAGUAUCUGAUUUUAUUAUUUUGUUUCCUUAAACAAAAAAAGAAUAAAAAUCUAUUUGGCAAAUUUUUUAUUCCUAGAAAUAGAUUUAUAAUAGAAUUACGAAAUAGAAAAAAGUUAUUCAUUUGCUCCCGGGAACAACUCCAUAAUCAAGCUAAAUCAUAUUCUUUUUUUUUUCUCGUUUCUUUUCUUCUUUUUCUUUUCUUUUCUCUUCUUUUUCCUCUAGCCAAUUUCAAAAUAUUAAAAAUAAAAGAAAAUUUGAAAAAUGUAAUAAAAUUAUAACAUAAAUUUUAAAAUAUAAUAAAAGUACAUAAAAUUAUAUUUAAAUGUGAUAUAUUAUAUAAUAAAAUUAUAUAUAUAAUAAAAUAAUUAAAAUUAUAAUAAAAUUAUAUAAUGAAAUUAUUAAAAGAUUAAAAUUAAUUUUAAAAAAUAUAAUAAAAUUACAUAAUAGAAUUAUAUUAAAAUAUGAUAAAAUUGUAUAAUAAAAUUAAGAAGUAUAAUAAGAUAAAAUUAUGUAAUAAUUUCAUUAAAAAAUUAAAAUAAAAAUAUAUUAAAAGUAUUAAAAAAAUUAAAAGAAAUUCUAAGUCACAGAAAAAAUUUAAAGGUUGUACCAAACGCAUUUCUAUUCCAAGAAUAGAAAUUUUUGAUAGUUAGUAAAUACUUUCAAAUACACAUAAACUCAUCUAGAGAACAGAAUAAAAAAAAAUGGUUAUUAAAUGCCCCCUAUAUCUCAUGAUAAAAAAAAAACAUGUUACAAAUGAAUAAGAGAUAGAGCCAUUAGAGAAAAAUGGACAUUUUCAAUUUGUGCAGCGCAAUAACGCCGACAAUCAUGAAUGAGAUACGAAUCCAAUUAUAAUAUCGCCCCACUUGAGAGAGAGAGAGAGAGAGAGAGAGAGAGAGGGUCUCCAUAAAUGAAGACAUCCAACAAGAGAGAGAGAGAGAGAGAGAGGGUCUCCAUAAAUGAAGACAUCCAACACCUUAUUUCUAUCUAUGUAGAGAUAUUUGUAAAAAUCACAAUGCCGGAAUUACUUUAGUCAUUUUUUAGGAAAAAAAUAAUAUGAUAGAGUCUGGUUAAAUGUUUGAAUAUGACCUAAUUGCUCAAUUGUCUACAUCCAUCUGUGUGAAAUAUAAAAUAUUAAAAUAUUAAGUCUUUACUAAUCUAUGUGAAUGCACAUAAACCACUACAUCCACAUAUGUUGACUAAGAUUCUCUACUUAUAGAGUGGUCAGUAGAGACACCGCCCCGAAUGUUAUUCAAAGUAAGAAAAUGUUCACCUUUAUUAGAUGCUUGUUGACUUUUCAAUCAAACCAUCAAGGGUAAAAACUAAUGAUUAUUACACAACUUUAUGCAAAAAUCCGAAAUUUAAGUGGUUAGAUAAUGACAUAAAUUAAAUUAAAGAGAUGCUCUAGUCAUGACUAAUCCCUGUCCUAGCUCAAGAUUUUAACCCAAUCAAAAGCUCCAGCCACUAAACCACAUACUUAGAUAUGAUUUUUAAAGUGAUUAAAAACACUUAUGGAUGUGCCAAUUCACCUUUGUAAACUCAUUUAUAGUUAAUCAAUCCUCAUAUCCCUAGAUGCUCCGGGUGCGUCGCCCAUUUCGAUAAGAGCAAACUGCGACUCAUCAUGACGAUACAGAAGAAUGGCCAACAAAAGUAAAAUAAAUAUAAAAAAAUCAUUUACUCUUUUCCAAGCAAUUUCAUCAGGUAAUCCUCACCGUGUUUGUUAUGUCCACAGAAAUCCGAAUCGAGAAUCUCCACUUAUCGCUUCGGAGACCGACGUUGUGGGACCAACAACGACAGUGAACGAACGGCCAUGGGCGUCCAUGCAAUGGGCAACAAUCCCAGAGGGGGGGCCAAGGGUCCCGGAGCAAGGGUAGGGAUGGGGCGUAGGUGGCGAAGACGACGCACCUUAACGCGAAAUAGGCCAUGGACUUGGAUCUGCCAAAUGAAUAGAAUGCCUCUGACAUUCAAACAUAAAUGCCUCAGCUGUAUGUAAACCUCGCCUUUUCUUCGUCAAUUGAAAAAACUCUAUAUAUAUCUCUCUCUCUCUCCCCAUCAUCCUCUUGAGUUUCUUCUGCUCUGCAGCACCGAAGCGUUCGCCUCCAUUGAAGGUCGCAGAUGAUUCUUGGCAUAUUCGCAGGAAACACUUUGUGUAAGUGGACAGCUCUUGCAUUUCUCCCUUUAUCUUCCUUUCUUCGCAUUUUCGUUUCGUGUUUUUUGACUCGAGUUGACCUGUUCAAUGAAUUCCCAACGCAGUCUUCCUGUUCCAGCUAAUUCUUUUCUUAGAAAAAUUCUGAAUUUUGAUUAGUGGGGGUCUUGUAACGUCUUAGUCAACUCAGAUGAAUAAGCACCCAUUUGGUUCAGCUUUGGAAAAUAUCCUUAGAAAAAUGUUUAAGGAGUUUUUCGAAAUACAAAUAGCAUUUGGUGAAUUAUAAUUUUAAAAUGGAUGGGGAUAUAACUUUGGCUUAAAUGUCCCUCGGUAAAAAUUGCAUUUUGUAAAGGACUUUUACUAUUUUUUUUUUUAGUUUAGCCAUUGAUGGCCAAAACAGCUGCUGCUGGCGAUCAGAUUUGAUCGCCGAACGACAUCACCUGAGCAGGUGAUGCCGCCUAGGUCGUGGCGAGGCGAUGCUACUUGAGAUCACGCAGCCCGUGAAAUCACGUGGCCCAAGCAUCGCCUACCUCAUCAUGACCAAGGCAGUGGUGGCCGCCACGCAUCCCCAGGCGAGCAUGAGGGUCGAGUACAUGGAACGAGAGAGACGUGAGGCAAAGAGAAACGUGAGUGAAGAGAAAUGGAAGAGGCAUUUAUGAUUUUCGUUUUAUAAAAGGGAAAAAAUGGAAUUCACUUAAAAAAUAAUGACAAGAUGGGCAAUUGACAUACUUUUAUUAAACCAACGAAGUAACAUUGCACCUCCAGCUCUCCAUUCCCCUAAAGGCCUUAGGAGUCCUUUGAAGAUGCAAUUGCAUCUUCUCAAAGCCUUCAAAAAAAUGACCGAAACACAAUUGCAUUUGGCAAAAUCCCUUUAGAACCUAAAGCCCCUUUUAAAUGCUAAACCAAAUGAAGCCUCACUCGCCCCCAAAAAAACACACGUCGAUAGAAUAAGCUAAGCCAACCACUUGGUUUCUACCAACUUUCUAAUGGAGACCAAGGUAUGCAAGCUCAAUAAAGACUUGAUUUCUUUUAACGUUCUUGUUUCUCUAAUGUGUUGUUGUAGUCUAGCAUCCUUUGGUUCGAGACAGAAAUUAGCAUAAGGGCGCUAGGAUGAUAUCAACGUUCUCAAGAAUGAUAAUCAAUGUCAAAGGGACGACUAUGGUACGUCCGGCUGAGGACACGCCGAGAUGUACCCUGUGGAAUGCGAAUUUAGACUUGGUGGUCCCGAGCAUGCACACCCCAAGCGUGUACUUCUACCGACCGACUGGAUCAGAUGACUUCUUCGAUUCCGAAGUGCUAAAAGAGGCGCUGAGCAGAGCCUUGGUGCUGUUUUACCCCGUGGCCGGGCGGUUGAAGAGGGACAAAAAUGGCCGAAUCGAGAUCGAUUGCAAUGCCGAGGGCGUGCUGUUUGUUGAGGCGGAGACAAGCUCGGUGGUCGAUGAUUUAGGGGAUUUCGCGACUUUGGAGCUCCGAAAGCUUAUUCCGGCUGUGAAUUACUCUAGUGGGAUAUCCUCGGACCCUCUUUUGGUGCUACAGGUGUGAUUUCUCUUUUUGAUUCUAUUCCUAGAAUUGGUUCAUCCUAGUGCCCAUGUGCUUCUCAUCAUACUUUAUGAACUUUUGAAACCUCAAAUAGAAGUUGAACUUUGAUUUUGACGGUCGUGUUCAAUGCUCAGAGAUAAAAUCUCUCCCAUUUGAAAAGUACGAGCGAGGGAUCCAAGUCGGUCGUCUUGUACCAACUUUUUGGCUUCUUUCAGCUAUGGUCUUAUUAACUUAAAAACAUUGAAGAAGACCUUUGUCUUUGACUCAGACCAGAGACAGUACAUGCCAGCAACAAUUAAGGGUUUCAGAUUGGUGCCUUUAGUUUGCUUCUAAGUUGAGAGACCUGGCCGAGCUUUCCUGACUCUCGGAAUUCAUGCGUAAAAAAAAAGACCAGAAUUUGACCCUACAAUGAGCAAAUUGAUUUAUCAAGAGUAAGCCGCUUGGAAGCUAAUGUUUGCUAGCAGUUACCAGUUCAUCAAGUAAUUGGACUCAAAUCAGAUUUCAGUGUUAUUAAUUUCGAUUGUUUCCUUUAUAUAGGUUACAUACUUCAAGUGUGGGGGAGUUUCGCUUGGUGUUGGAAUGCAGCACCAUGUGACCGAUGGUUUUUCUGGUCUACACUUUGUGAACACAUGGUCUGAUCUGGCUCGUGGACUUGACGUCAAGCUCCCUCCAUUUAUCGACCGGACCCUUCUGCGCUCCCAUAGCCCACCACGGCCUCAAUUCCCUCAUAUCGAAUACCAGUCUCCACCUGCAUUGCGAGUUUCUCCUGAAACUACUAAUUCAGCUUCAGAUAGCUCUACUGUUUCUAUUUUAAAAGUUACUCGGGAACAGUUAGACGCCCUAAAGACACAGGCAGUAUUAGAAAAUGGAAACACCACUCGGUAUACUUCCUAUGAAAUCUUGGCAGGUCAUGUCUGGCGAUGUGCGUGCAGAGCACGCGGACUUUCUGAUGAUCAAGACACUAAAUUGUCCAUUGCAAUAGAUGGACGGAUGAGAUUGUCUCCACCACUUCCGCAGGGUUAUUUUGGCAAUGGGAUCUUUACAAUCACACCAAUUGCUGUUGCAGGCGAUCUCAUAUCAAAACCAGUAUUGUAUGCGGCACGGACGAUCCAUGAGUCAUUGGCGAGAGCGAAUGACGAUUACCUAAGAUCUGCCCUUGAUUACUUGGAGCUCCAGCCUGAUCUCUCAGCACUGGCUCGCGGGGCGCAUACUUUUAGGUGUCCAAAUCUGGGCAUUACUAGUUGGGUUAGGUUGCCCAUCCAUGACGCAGACUUUGGUUGGGGCCGCCCUAUCUACAUGGGGCCAGGCAGGAUUGCAUAUGAGGGAUUAUCAUACAUAUUGCCUAGCCCAACCAGUGAUGGGAGCUUGUCUGUUGCUAUCUCACUGCAAACAGAGCACAUGAAACCGUUUGAGAAAUUCUUCUACGACCUCCCUGGUGAGUCACCAUGAAAAAGGUGCAAGCUUGACGACUGAACGGUCAGUUUCUAAUACCGAUAGAGAAGAACUUUCUUCUUUCCUUUUAUCUAGUUUCCUCAAAGAAAUCUUUUGCGCAUGUUAUUCAUUUGUCAUGCAUAAGUGCACCAAUGCAGCUCUAUGCCGCGAUGGGAUCGGGUGCAUCGCACAGUACUCAGAGAAUUUGUUUGAAGUUCAAUUUAUAAUAUAUAGCUAGAUAUGCUUUUCUGCUUUUGAUUCCUGAGAUCUAUCGUCAUGGAUGAAGUGUUAAACAAGGUGUCAAUGAACAACUCGACCAGAGAGCUACUGACUCCGUAAGUUCUACCAGGUCUGUGAAUUAUGUCACUUUCGCCUGCUGAAAUGCAGAUGCAUCAUUGAAGUUGGAUAUUCUCGAAUUUCAACGUGUUGCUUUGCCUUCAUUUCUAAGAUUGCCUUUAAAUACCGUAUGGUUGGUUGAGCUUUCCCUGUGAUGACUUAAGAAGCGGUUGGAGACUCGGCCUUAACCAUCAGUGGGACCGGUAGGUCUAAAGAAAAGAGAGCGAGAGAAAGAAACCUGGCAUGACGAAUUAAAUCAUCGAGGUUAAGAGCUAAGAUUCGUUUCCCUGAAAGUUCUGCUCAUCACACAAACAACCAACCGCCAAAACUUCACUAGACUAUAAAAACAGCCAAAUUCCCGAAGAAGGCAAUAUUGACAAGCACGAUUGUGAGGCCGAGAACGGAUAUGGUCCCAAAUUAAAGGUAUCAACACGAAUCCACAAUUGAAGCCUUGACCUCAUUUCUUAAGACCUAUAACAUCUAUUGGUAGUUUUGCAGAAGCAUGUGUGUGCAAGUGUGUAUGUGUAAAAUAUGGGUGGAUAUAAGUGGACUACAAAGGCAAGAGAGUAUGGAUAAAAAAAUUAUGAAAGUUUGUAUUAUAAAGGAAAGAGUGUUUCUAGUUUUUCUUUGCUACAUAAAACAGUCACCACAACUCCUAUUUAUAGGCGUGAGUCACGACCUUCCUCCACCAACAUUGAGUACAAAAAUUAAUAUAAAAUUACAGCUGCUUUGUCUUCUGCUUGUGCGGCUUCUUUCAGAUCUUCUGGUGGCUUCUCCAUUAAUUUUCAUUUUUCUAUUCUCUACGGCUUUUGUUGACUUUUACUUUUCUUUUGCCUUUUUGCUGCCCAUGUGGUCUUGCUGCCGACGUCAUACUAGAAAGUUCUUCAACGUUUGAGAGUCUUCUUGCCUUUUCUUGCAUUUGUAUUUACUUAGAGCAAGUUGUUGCCGCCAACUUUUUUCUUUCUCCAUUAAGCAUGAAUAGUCUAAAGCUUUUCAAAAAUGGAUCACUUUUUAACACUCCUCCUUGAUCCAUUUUUGUGAUACUCCGAGCAUGCUUCUCAAUGUCUCGAAUUUGUUAUUGGUAGUGUUUUAGUGAAUAUGUCCACAAUUUGAUCUUCAGUCUUACAAUACUUCAGCUUGAUUUCUCCUUUGUUUUGUACUUCAUAAAUGAAGUGAUAUUUUAUGUCAAUAUAUUUGGUUCUUCCAUGAAAGACUGGAUUUUUUGAUAUCACAAUCGCGGACUUGUUGUCACAAAAUAUUGGCGUUGAUUCCAUUUGCGGUUCUCCAAUGUCUUCUAGAAUCUUUCGAAGCCAUAUUGCAGGGCUAGUAGUUGUAGCAGCCGCAACUUCUGUAGUGGAUUGUGCAACUGAGUCUUAUUUUUUCGAUAUUUAUGAAAAUAUUCCAAAACCUAAUAUUAAUGCAUAAUCAGUGGUGCUCCUCCUGUCAUCAGAUGAUCCUGCCCAAUCACUAUUAGUAUAACCGAUCAACUUAGUUGUUGCACUAGGUUGGUACCAAAUACCAUAAUCAGUGGUUCCUCGUAAGUAUCUUAGAAUUCUCUUGGCUGCUCCAAAAUGAAUUUGGCUUGGACUCUGCAUAAACUAUGAUAGUAAGCUUGUCGCGUACAUAAUAUCUGCCCAUGUAGCAGUUAAAUAUAGUAGACUCCUAAUUAGGCUUCUGUAGAGUGAAGCGUCUGCUUUUUCAGCUCCAUCUUUUUUCAAUAGUUUCUCAUUCAUCACAAGUGGUGUUGCCACUGUUUUGCAAUUACUCAUCUUGAAUUUUUCAAGGAGCUUUUCUGCAUAUUUCUUUUGUGAAAUGAAAAUUCCUUCAUCUUGAUUGACUUCAAUACCGAGGAAAUAGUUCAUCAAGCCCAAGUCCGUCAUCUCGAAUGUCUUCAUCAUUUCUUCUUUAAAUUCUCGGAUCAUUGUCUCAUUGUUUCCUGUAUAUAUGAGAUCAUCUACAUAUAGAGAGACAAUAAGAGUGUCGGACUUACCUUGGGUCUUGAUGUAGAGUGUCAGCUCACUCAUACUCCUCUUGAAUCCUUGCUUGAUGAAGUACUCAUUGAUUCUACUAUACCACGCACGUGGUGCUUGAUUUAACCCAUAUAGGGCUUUUUUGAGUUUGAGAACUUUUUCUUCUUAGCCUAUUACAGUAAAGCCUUGUGGUUGUUCCACAUAUAUUUCUUCUUGAAGAUAUCCAUUUAAAAAUGGCAACUUCACAUCUAGUUGAUGGAUCUUCCAUUCUUUUUGUGCUGCUAGGGCUAUGAGUGUUCAAAUAGUAUCAAGGCGAGCGACAGGGGCAAAAGUUUCAGUAUAGUCGAUACCUGGUUAUUGCAAGUAUCCUUUCGCCACAAGCCUUGCUUUAUGCUUCUGGAUUGAUCCAUCCGCAUUGAGUUUUGUCUUGUAGACCCACUUGACGCCAAUGAUCUCUUUGUCUUCAAGUCGAUCGACAAGCUCCCAAGUUUCAUUUUUCUCGAUCAUCUUGAUCUCUUCCUCCAUGGCUUUUAUCUAGACUUCAUCUUUGGAUGCUUGUUCGUAGUUUUCUAGUUCCAAAAUAGCAAAGUUGCAUGUGUCAUAAAUUCUUCUAAAGGCGUUUACCUUAGUACUGGAGACUCUGGAGUAGAUUCUUCUUGCGUUACUCUUGGAGAGCUUGGUGGAGUUAUGUCAUGAGUGGUGGAAUCCAGUACUUCUCCUUCUUCUUGUGAUGUUGACUCCUCUUGAGCAGGUGGUAUGUCUGGCAAGGUGAUGUACUUUUUCUCGAUCUUCUCGCUCUCCCAAUUCUAGGCAGCAUUUUCGUCGAACUCUACGUCUCGACUAAUCAUAAGCUUCUUGGUUCUUAGGUUGUAAACCCAAUAGCCUUUUGAUUGGUCAUUGUAGCCAAGAAAUAUUCAUUUUUCUGUCUUUCAUCUAGCUUACUCCUUUUUUGAGUAGGGAUGUGGACAUAGCAUAUGCAUCCAAACACUUUGAGAUGCUUUGCUGAAGGCUUCUGUCCACUCCAUGCUUUGAAUGGUGUUUUAUUUUGAACAGCUUUAAUUGGACACCUGUUUAACAGGUAUACUGUAGUAUAAACUGCUUCUGCCCAAAAAGUGUUGGGAAUGCCUUUCUCCUUUAGCAUGAACCUCGCCAUCUUCAUGACGGUUCUAUUAUUCCUUUCGACUACUCCAUUUUGCUCUGGGGCGUAGCCAAGAGUUAGUUGAUGAUGGACUCCUUCAUCUUCACAGAAUUUAUUAAACUCCUUUGAAUUGUAUUAUGUGCCUCUGUCACUCCUUAGGACUUUGAUUCUUUGGCCACUUUGAUUCUUGACGUGGCUCUUGAAUUUUCUGAAGAUAGAGAAAACCUCUCAUCUUUCUCGAAGAAAGUAUACCCACAUCAUUCUUGUGUAAUCGUCAAUGAAUAGGAUGAAAUAUUUAUUUUGAUUGGGUGUAGGUGUCCUCAUCGGACCGCACACAUCCGUGUGGACAAGUUCCAAUGGCUUCUUAGCUCUCCAUGUGCCUCUAGAUGGGAAGGACUUCCUCUGCUGCUUUCCAAAAAGACAACCCUCACAAACAUCUGAAAUUUCUAUAAUAGCUGGAAAAUCUCUCAUCAUAUUUUUCUGAUGGAGAAUUUUUAGCCCAUCAAAAUUGAAGUGGCCAAAUCUUCGAUGCCAUAACCAUGAAUCAUCAAGUUGAGCUUUCAUGGCUAUAUCUUUAACAUAUUUCCAUCGAGUAGGAAAAUUCUUAUUUUCCAUCUUAACAGAGGCAAUGGCAUUUUUAUAUUUAUCAUAGAUAAUGCAGGUAUCUCUAUUAAAAUAUAGAGAAUACCCACUUUGUAUCAUUUGGCUCACACUCAAGAGAUUUUGUGCAAGACGAGGGACUAGAUAUACAUUAUGUAUAUAUUUUGAGCCUUUAUUCGUUUCCACGGCGAUGGUGCAUUUUCCUUUGACAUCUACUAAUGCACCAUUGCCCAACUUACUUGGGAUUUCACCGACUUAUCAAUAUAGUAAAUAUAGAUUCAUCCCCCGUCAUGUGAUUGCUACACCCACUAUCAAUGUACCAUGUUUCAUUUUUAUUAUCAUUUGCCGCUUGGCCUGCGUAGAAUGUAUUCUCUACACUUUCUUUUUUUCCUACAUAGUUUGCUCAAUUAUUUGUUUUCGAGCGACAAUCUUUUUCUACGUGGCCAUUUCUUUUACAAAAGCGGCAUUGUUUUUUAUUUUUAAACCAACAAUCCUUCCACAAAUGAUUUGUUUUCUUGCAAAUACCACAAGGUGGAUAAUUUUCCUUUUGUAUAGUUUCUCUCUUUUUUGUUUUUCCAUGAGCUCCUUCCAUCAUUUUUAGUUUGAUGAGACCGUAUAUUUACUUUAGACUGAAAGGCACUUUCGACUGAAUCUUCAUCUUGUGCUAUUAGUCUUUCUCAUGUGCUUCUAGAGAGCCAAUUAAUUCACUUAUUGAUAGGGUCGUCAAGUAUUUAUUUCCUUCUAUAGUUGUGACUAUGGGGUUGUAUUUUUUGGUAAGUGACACCAAUAUUUUCUCAACAACCCUUUGAUCAGUUAUCCCAUCUCCAUAGGCUCUCAUUUGAUUAACUAGUUCUUUUAAUUUUUCACAAUAUUCUUGUACGGUCUCAUAAUUUUUCAUUUUAGAAUUCUCAAAAUCUCUUCUUAGUGUUUGAAGACGAAUAGUGCAUACCUUUUCCGAUCCUUGAAAUUCUUCUCGUAGUAUAUCCCAAGCCCCUUUUGCAGUCCUUGCUCCAAUUAUUCUUGGAAAUACAGUUUCUGAGAGUGCUUGCUGAAUAAAGUAUAGUGCCUUACAUCCUUUUGUAGUUGAUCCUUUAAAACACUUGCACCUUCCGGCGGAGCCUCGCAACCUUUUUCCACGGUGUCCCAUAAGUCUUGGGCCAUCAAGAAUGUAGUCAUUUUUAUGCUUCAAAAAUCAUAGUUGUUCCCAUAAAAAAUGGGAAUGGAAAUGAGGAAGAGCUAGAGUUGGCCAUGGUUUAGUUAGUGGUAUUUGGAAAUGGUAGUUUUAGGAAUGGGUAGGUAGGACAAACGCCCAAUACCAACCAAAGACGUGACUCUGAUACCACUAUUAGUAGUUUUGCAGAAGCGUGUGUGUGUAAGUGUGUAUAUGUGAAAUAUGGGUGGAUAUAAGUGGACUACAAAGGCAAGGGAGUAUGGGUAAAACAAACAGGACUUUUAUUAUGAAAGUUUGUAUUACAAAGGAAUGAGUGUUUCUAGUUUUUCUUUGCUACAUAAAACAGUCACCACAACUCCUAUUUAUAGGCGUGAGUCACCGCUUUUCUCCACCGACAUUGAGUACAAAAAUUAAUAUAAAAUUACAGCUUCUUUGUCUUCUGCUUGUGCGGCUUCUUCCGAAUCUUCUGGUGGCUUCUCCAUUAAUCUUCAUUUUUCUAUUCUCUGCGGCUUUUGUUGAAUUUUACUUUUCUUUUGCCUUUUUGCUGCCCACAUCAUACCAGAAAGUUCUUCAACAUUUGAGAGUCUUCUUGCCAUUUCUUGCAUGCAUGUGUACUUACUUAGAGCAAGGUGUUGCCGCCAACUUUUUUUCUUUUUCCGUUAAGCAUGAAUAGUCUAGAGCUUUCCAAAAAUGGAUCACUUUUUAACAACAUCCAUGCUUUGGGAAGGCUGACGCCCAUUUACAAAUGAACGGUGAGAUGCUUCUUUAAGGUCAACACCCGACGCUGGUCUUUGCCGGAGGAGGCGUUAUUUGUGAUCUACAAUGGAUAAACUUGAAAUGCUGUGAUAUACCAAACGAUUAAAAGCAUAAGAUCACUGGCAUUGGAAAUAUUUUCACAUUUUAAGAGAAUAUUCAGGUGCCAGAUUGUCUGCCUUUGUGUAAACCUUCAUCACUAUCCUUUCAACUCAGACCCCUCAAACCACCAAAGAGAAUUAACACAAAAAUUCCUCCUACUAAUGGUAACAGCUAAUUUGCAAAGAAAGAGAAAGGCAAAAAUAUCAAUGAAUCUGGAAGCUCUCACUUUGGGUUGUUCAAGGCCUGCCGACAUGCUUAGAGACUUUCUACAUGCGUGAGGAGAAAUUGAUGCCAAUAACAAACAUUAACCGCCAUGUCAUUGCCCGUGACAAAUAUUGCUUUUUCCUCUCAUUUCAGCUUUUAGGCAUUAUUUGUCUCUAAUGUUCCAAAAGAGAUGGUGUAGUAGAUAGCAAAGGAGUGUGAAGGGCUAACUGGGAUAACUCUGUGUUCACUGGCCUACUCUUCACCUUACUCUUCACAAAUAAUGAAGGUUAACCACACAAUUGGCAAAGUUCUACACAGUCCUCUCCUAGUUCUUCCUGUCUAACUUAAGUGCAAAACCUAGACAAUGACAACGUUGAUCAAGAGUAUCAAGUAAAAAUCUAAUCUUUCAAGUAUUAUACAUAAAGCUGGUUUCAAAAAGUAGUUUCAGGGGUGCGCAUGACAAAAUUUAUGUUUCUCUAUUUCUUUAUUUUUCUGUUUUCUAGAAUGGGUAUGAAACAAAAAUCCGUUUAAUAACAUAAUUUUAUUUUUUUAUUUCUGGAAUAGAUUUCUAUUCCAGAAAUAAAUUUAGACCAGAAAUUAGAUAUUAAAUUUUUUUAAGCUUUUCUAUUUAUGGAACAAAAGUGAGAAAUGAGAAUUUUUCUCAUCGUUCACUUUUGUUACUGGUCGUUGCCACCCCACCACCCAAGGGAUGUUGAACGCUUGCCCCCGAACGGUCGCUGCUCAAGGCCCCUCGCUCGUCGCCGGUCACCAAACACCCGCCCGCCACCCCCUUAAAAAUAGAAAUUUUAUUCAGUUAUCAAAUGAAUUUCUAUUUCAAAAACAAAAAUUUUGGAUUGUUAUCAAACGCGUUUCUUUACUCAGGAAUUUAUCAGGGAAUAAAAAUUGAUUUCUAGAACAAAAAUGUGGUGAUGCGCGCCCUAAACAUCUUUAAAUUGCAUUCCAUUCUCUAUCUUUAUGUCAUGCUUGUUCAAUUCACUGAUGGAUUGUGGAUGUUAGAUAAAACCUAUGGGUUUGGUAAGCUCAUAAAAAAGAACAAAUGUUCACCCGAUCGUGCCACACUGUUCUACUUCUACCUCAAGAUUUAUGAAGUGUUUGGUCACGAAACAUUUGUAUUUUGUAUUGGCAAACUAUCAAAUACUUCUAUUUAAACUUAACUCCCACUCCUAACUUUGCAGCAGCAACAUUUAUAUUUACAUCAAUAAUCCAUUUUCUAAAGUCAGACCUUUUCUACUAGGUUCUCUGGAAUUUGGAUCAUCAACAGAAAGGGAUCGAAAGCCAUAUACAUAAAGACAUCUGAAUCUCAUUCUAUGACAAGAUGAAGCUUAUACAUCCUUAAGUUUUUCCAACAUCACAAAGCAAGAACAACAAAUAAAAUUUGCUAGUUGUUAUUGUCCAGCAAGAAGGGGUACCGUCAUGUUCGUAGGUAUGGGAAAAACACAGCAACACAACAUGAAAUUAGUCAUUUCCUGCCACUUUCCCAGCUAACUAUUGACGCUCAUAACCUUCCAUUAUAUGGUUUUAUCGGGUUUUUAACAUAAGAAGCUCAAAAUGUCCUCAUUUGAAAGAGCACAUAGGGUUCAUCAAUGGGGUGGUAGGUUCGAUUGAAUUCUUCUUCUGUGCAAUGGUAGAUUUGUUACGAAAUUGCACGUUGAUUCCAGACUAAUAACGCUCGCAAACAAUUCACCAAACGUAAUAUAAUAAUAAAAGAAUAGAAUCAGACGAAUAUGCCAUAAAAUUUAUUAACAAAGUUCAUCCAAAUUUAGGUUACGUCUCCGCGCAGAGACACUCUACAAAUCUACUAGAUUUCGCAAAAAAUUAGAAUACAAUGAUGAUCUUCUCUCAAGAUCAUUAAGAACCCUCAUAAUGAAAAAACUCUUUUUUUUUCUUCUCUCUUUUUCUUGCCUCUCUAUUUUAUUUUUUAGCGUCUUACCAUCACUAAUAUAAUAUAAAGGUGUAGCUUUUAACCUAAAAGAAAAUCUAAUAGAAAAGACAAAGCAGCCCCUAAAAAUAAUUGGCUUCAUUUAUAACAAUUUCCCACUUGAAGACAAAUAUAUCCGAGCACCAAGCAACUUUGCAUCCAUCUUCUUCAAAAACUAAUAUUUGAAAAACUUGUGCCUGUGCGAUACUCCUCAUCAAUCAACAUGGAGUAAUACCAAUGGUAGUAGUACAUAAAAUAUAUUUCUCUCUUUCUACUACCUUGGUCAACAUGUCAAUUGGAUUCUUUGAGCCAUCAAUCUUCUGUAACUUUAACUCAUUUUCUUUCAAUGCUGACUUAAUAAAGUGAUAACACUUCUUGAUAUGUUUAGUCCUUGAGUGAUAAGAUGCAUUCUUUGCUAAGUACACUGCACUUUGACUAUCACUUCACAAUGUACUGACUGGCUAUUUUCGAUAUAGCUCCUCCAAGUAAUCUUGUAACAACAUGAUUUCCUUGGAGGCUUCUAUAGCGUCCCUUCGCUCGGCUUGACUGGCACUUUGAAUGUUGAUUUGACGCUUCCUAUAGGCAGGCUCCAUUAUUGUUGUUUAAUGAUGACUUCGCUUUUAAUGUUGGGUGCCAUUUACUAUUUAAAUAAGGCAAACCACACAUAUCUCAUCACGCUUUUACCAUUCAAGAAAGAGAGAGAUGUUGAGUAGUCCGGACAUAUAAUGGUAGAGUGACAUGGAAUUGAUAUCAAGGUACAAUUUGGCACAUUGCUUUUGUGAAUCAAUUUUCUGAAUAAUUAUUUUAAUGAGAUGAUAGAGUAAAAGAGGAAUUUAACAUAUAGGAUCCAAUCUUGUAACAUGAGAGAUGUGGGAUUGAAUUUGGGGGAAAUACACUAUUAGUGCCAUAAGUUGUGUACGGCGCUCACUUUGGUGCCAAAAGUUUCCGUCGGAUCACUUAAGUACCAAAAAUUUUGAAAAACGAUCAUUUCAGUACCAACGCCGAUUGGGUUGGCCGAAAAUCCGACAUGGCAAUUUUUUAUUAAUUUUUUACGCUAACACGGCUCGCCAGAGAGUACAGUCAGCAUGUAAAUCACAAAACAACGUCAUUUGGUGUUUUCCCCCAAGUCGAAACCCUAAAUUCCCAAAUCGAGAGAGAGAGAGAGAGAGAGAGAGAGAGAGAGAGAGAGAGAGAGAGAGAGGGGCAUGGCGGUGUCGUCUUCUUCCCCGAAUAACAGCACCAGCACCAGCCACUCUCUAAGCAGAACCUGAUCCACCAUCUCCAUAUGCGCCCUCCUUGUUUCCCUCGCACUCUUCGUCUUCUCUCUCUCUCUACACCUCCAACCCCCCCUUCUUACUCCUCCUCCUCCACCCUCACCUCCUAUUUUCCCAUUGCUUCUUGCCCGAGAAACAACCUCAGCCUCUCCUUGCUCACCUAGUCCAGCAACUACAAUAGAGGCCGAGCGACGGUGGUCAAGCAUGGUGGCCAAGCGACGGUGGCGGAGCACGGUGGCCAAGCAAGUUAGGUCGGUGAGGAUUGAAUAAAAAAAAUCCUAAUUUCAAUCCCAAAUGAGCUGUGCAACGUCAUUUUUGUGAGGCCAUCCACAUUUGAUGGCAAAACAACAUCGUUUUCUUAAGGAGGAUGGAAAACGACGUCGUUUAAAAAGCUCAUCGAUUUUUUUUUUAAUAGAAAAGCCACGUAAUCAUUUUGGCCGGAAUCUCGCUGGUGGCACCAAAGUGAUCGUUUUUUCUCCGAUUUGGCACUUAAGUGAUCCGACGAAAACUUUUGGCACCAAAGUGAGCGCCGUACACAACUUAUAGCACUGAUAGUAUACUUCUCCCGAUUGAAUUUGAUAUUAGCUUUUAUCUGGUUACGAAUGAGGACUUUUGCUAUGGACUUAUAAGAUUGAACCUUUAGUUAUUUUAAGGCAUCAUGAUCGUUUAGUUCAUUUUUUUUAUUAAUUAAUGCCGUUAACCAACUCGAUGUUUACCACAUUGUCAACUUCUAAUACAAACAAACUUGUUCGGUCUUUUAUAUGCAAAUAGUCGUAUUCAUUCACAAACAUUCACAUGCUUGGUUGUGCUUUGAAUUGGCUUGCUAUCUUCUUUAACCUUCAUUUGGAGUGUCUUCUCCAAAAAAAAUUGUCAUUUGAAAGGAAUAGUUUGGAGCACAUUCAUAUGAUGGACCCAAAUUUUCUCAUCUUAGAAUUAAUAAACAAAGGGGGAAAGGUGGAAUGCAAGUAGAGAGUUAGAUAAAGGGGGAAUCAUCAAAGGAAUCGAUAAGUUUUUUGGUCGUACUUGACUAUUCCAAAUGAGAUAUUAUUACAAAGCACUAUCGGCCUAUUUGAUGACGUAUUAAACAAUGUCCGAUUCUAUUAUUUUGUUUCUUUGAACAAAAAAAGAAUAAAAAAUUGUUUGGCAAAUUUUUUAUUCUUGGAAAUAGAUUUAGAAUAGAAUUAAGAAAUAAAAAAAAUUAUUUAUUUGUUUCCAAGAACAACUCCAUAAUGAAGCUAAAUCAUAUUCUUUUUUUUUCUCUUUUCUUUUCUUCUUUUUCUUUUCUUUUCUCUUCUUUUUCCUCUAGCCAAUAGCAAAAAUAUAAUAAAAUUAUUAAAAAUAGAAAGAAAUUUUCAAAAAUAUAAUAAAAUUACAACAUAAAAUUAUAUUUAAAAUAGAAUAAAAUUUCAUAAAAUUAUAUUUAAAAUGUGAUAUAUUAUAUAAAAAAUUAUAUAAUGAUAAAAUAAUUAAAAAAUAUAAUAAAUUUAUAUAAUUAAACUAUUAAAAAAUUAAAAGAAUUUUUUAAAAUAUAGUAUAAUUACAUAAUAGAAUUAUAUUAAAAAUAUGAUAAAAUUGUAUAAUAAAAUUUAGAAGUAUAAUAAAAUAAAAUUAUAUAAUAAUUUCAUUAAAAAUUAAAAUAAAAAAUAUAAUAAAAGUAUUAAAAAAAUUCUAAGUCACAAAAAAAUUUAAAGGUCAUACCAAACACAUUUCUAUUCCGAGAAUAGAAAUUUUUGGUAGUUACUAAAUACUUUCUGCUGCGACCAAAUUUUUUCGGGGGGGUGAACCACCUAAGGUUUGGCUAAUGGAUUGUUAAGCCUAGACUUAACUCGGGCUCUCCCAAGCCCAUACCAAUUCGCGACUUUAGGUUCAAGUUUUUUAACAUGCAAUUGAUUUUUAACUAGGAGUCGCCACUAAUCUAUUUUUGGUAGGUCGAUUAGACACCUAAGUAAAAUAAUUGGAGAAUUAUUUUACUUCUACGAACCAGAGAUUAUGGGUACGGGGACUUGAUUACAUUAGAUUUCUCUAAUGCCCUUUCGGUACCAUUCUUUUUAUUUUCAAAAAUGUUUGGCAAUUGAAUUGAUUUUAAACUAACUUCCUAACAUGUGAGGUGAUCAUACAUGUGCGCAUACCACCAAUUUAACACUCAAGAAAGCAAAUGAAUAAAUGAUGCAGAACUUACCUCAAAGCAACGAAAGCAUCUGCAAUGUUAGUUUAGAAUUCACAUCAACAGUCCUAAAUAUGAUUUCUAAUUAACACGCAAUUUUUGUUUUGUUUUCACUUAAUUAAUGAAAAUCAUGCAAUAUGCAAUGCAUGCCACUAAUUUAACAUGAAAUGAUAUGACAUGGCAACAUGACUUAGCUAUAUGACCUAAGCAAUAUGACAUAACUAGCAUGUAAUCUAUCCUAAGCAUGAGAUGAUUUAUUCUAAAUAAUUUUUUUUGUAUUUUCUAUGAGAUUCGAAAUUAAAGAAAUGCAACAUUUAAAUAUGCAAUCUAAAUUAAUCUAAUGACCUAAUUCUAAUGACGGGCAAUUUCUAAUUAAAUGCACCUAACAAAAAUCACUAAAUGACAUGCAUUGUAUGAAAUUAAUUCUAUAUGACGUGCACAUGAUUUUUAUUUUCCUAAUAAGCAUGCAAUCUAUUUAGGAGAAAUUAUCUAAACCUAUAAUAUGCAAUCUUAGCAUGCAAUGACGUGCAAAGAAUGCCCUAAUUCUACAUGACAUAUGCAUAUGACAUUUUUUAUUAAAAAAAUGCAAUCUAUCCUAGAAAUUGCAACUAAUUUAUCCUAAGACAAAUUUUAUGAAAUUUCAAAUGAUCUAGCUAGAUUAAGAUUCUAUCUAAUUUAAACUAGGGAUUAAGUCAUAUUAAAUCCUAAUUUAAACUAAAACAUUAUCUAAAUCUAAAAUGCCAUUUAUCUAAAAAAGAUUAUCUAAAUUUAAAAUGAAGCAUGCAAUUCUAAUCUAAUAUGCACAAUGAUUUUUUUUUAUGGUUUUCUUUAAUCUCGAAAUUAAAAUUAAUACCUAAUUAACAUGCAAUUCAAAUAAAUAAAAACUAACAACCUAAAUGAAUGCACUUUUUUUUGGAUUUUUUAUUAAAAAAUUCAUAAUAAGAUUGCAAUCCUAAUAUGCAAGAUAACAAAAACAAACCUAGUCCUUAUUCGGAUUUUUUCUUUUUGAUUUUUCUUAUUUUAAAAAAAAAUUCGAAAUUAGAUUGCGAUUUUAACCCUAAGACUAAGAAUAUUCUAAAACAUACUUAAUCCUAAUUUGAUUUUUUUUUAUUUUUUUCUCUUAUGAAAAUAAAAUUGAUCCAAACACACGAUAUCAAAUCAAACAAGACAAUAUUGAUAUCCAAAAAUUGGCAAACCGUAUCUCGCGCAUGAGAUCGGGUUGACCAAUUUUAAUUUUAAAUCGCGAAUCAAAUCUCGGGCUUGAGAUUGGAUUGUCGAUUUUUAUAAGGGAUUGCGAGUCGGAUUUCAGGCGUGAAAAUCGGACUAUCAAUCCCUCGCUUGAGGAGGACUUUCAUGUUGGAACAUCGAUCAUAUAUUUAAGAAUAAUCCUACUAAAGAAAAAGGUAAACAAGUGAGAAUAACAUUUAAAAAAAAAUGAAGUAAAAAGAAAAGAACUACCUAAAUAAUUUUCUUUUUUUUCUUUUGUUAUACGCGGCUGGUGGUGGGUCACCGAGAGACAGCCGUUCAGAGGUCCCGGCAGGGGGAUCACCGGCAAGGGGGGGCUCCGGCGAGGCAAGGCAGGUGGGCGUCUGGCGCGGGGCAGCGAGGAUUGACGCCGGCAAGGGACUUCGGCGAAGCAGGGCACCGGCGAGGGAGGCGUCACAGGGUGCGGGGCCUGCUGUCGGGCACCGAGGAGAUGCGAGCAACAGCGAUGUGGGCUCUGGCGGCGUUGGGUCGCGGCAGGAACAGCGGCACGGCGGCGGCUAAGCGUCGGGUCUCGGCGCGGUUCGGCAGCAGCGUCGGCGGGCGCUCGGGCGGAAUAAACGCGAGCGGAGCAAGGGGCUCCGAUUUCGUCGGAUCUCGGCUGAAAACGAAAUCGGGUCAGGAGCGAUCGGCACCUAGGUUGCCGUGGGGGAGACUUCGGCUACGGGGACGCCGAGGUGGAGACGCAAGCAGGGACCGACGGUGGGCGUGGCGGGCUACGUGUGGCGAGGGAGGCUCAGCUAGCGCCGGUCACGACGGGAGCAGGGAACGCCGAGUGCUGGGUCGUGAGCAGAUCUCAAGCGCAGGCGUCGAGGAGCGGACGGAGCGGCGAGACCGGCGGCGAACGGAACAGCGAGGUGGAGGAGGACGUCGGGCUUCGCGGAGCGGAACAGAGGGUGAGCAGCGAGCUUGGGGAGAUGAUAUAGUGAGGGUCAAAUCACCUCUGCUUUUUACUUUUCUCCUCUUUCUCUCUCUCUCUCUCUCUCUCACGUUCUACUUUUUCUUUUUUCUGCAGUUUUUCCCUUUUUCUGCUCUUUUCCCUUUCGCAGAAGCUAAACCUCUCUUGACCUUUUUUCUGUUUUUUUUUCAAAGAAGCCCUCUACAGGUCCUCGUACACGGUUGCUUUUAUAGGGGUAAGAGAUAAGCCUUCGAUUUCUCCUUCAAAUCUACAUCCGUGAUACAUUUUCACCAACCAAUCACUAUUGAUAAAAAUUCAAGAUUACAAUAAAUAUUUUCUCAAAAUCCAAAUCUCGCAAAAGAUAAGUCGCAAUAUUUUUUCACACAUGUGCCCUAUCCAAAAGAUUCAUAUCCCGGAAUAAUUUCAAAAUUUUUAUUUUUCAUGAGAUAAUUAAACCACAUGGGCUUGGGCCAACCAGCUUGCUUCGUGGGCUUAGUCCAACUAAUUUGAACCCAUUCGCACUGAUCCAAUAAAUAAAAUGCCAAUAACAAAAUAAAUGCAAAUAUAAAUCUAUAUGCUAUAAAGUUUAACUCCUAAUUUCUUAUGCAAUAAAUAAAUAAACUAAAUCGUCAGAAUUUAGGUGUCAACACUUUCAAAUGCUCAUAAACUCAUCUAGAGAACAUAAUAAAAAUAAUAAUAACCAUUUCUAAGAUUUUUUAGCAUAAAUUAUUCCCGAGAAUAAAAUGGUUACAAAACGCCCCAUAUAUCUCGUGAUAAAAAACAUGUUACAAAUGAAUAAGAGAUAGAGCCAUUAGAGAAAUAUGGACUUUUUCAAUUUGUGCAACGCAAUAACAUCGACAGUCAUGGGUGAGAUACAGAUCCAAUUAUAAUAUCGCCCCACUUGAAAGAAGAAGGCUCUUCUUGUGGGAGGGCCAAAAUAAGCUAGAAGUCCAAUAGGGUAUUCUCAUCCAAAAAUUCUGUGGCCUCAAAUAUAUAUGCAGCCAUCCAAAAGGCCUUAGGUCUAAAGACAAUUGCAAUUGAAUGCUCUCUACAACCUUGUCCCACAAGAAUUCCAGCAAGUUUCCAUAAAAGAAAAGAGAGAGAGAGAGUGAUAGAAAGGGUCUUCAUAAAUGAAGACAUCCAACACCCUAUUUCUAUCUAUGUAGAGAUAUUUGUAAAAAUCAACAAUGCCUGAAUUACUUUAGUCAUUUUUUAGGAAAAAAAUAAUAUGAUAAAAUCUGGUUAAAUGUUUGAAUAUGACCUAAUUGCUCAAUUGUCUAAAUUCAUCUGUGUGAAAUAAAAAAAUAUCAAAAUAUUUAGUCUUUACUAAUCUAUGUGAAUGUACAUAAAUCACUACAUCCACAUAUGUUGACUAAGAUUCUCUACUUAUAGAGUGGUCAGUAGAGACACCUCGAAUGUUAUUCAAAGUAAGGAAAUGUUCACCUUUAUCAAAUGCUUGUUGACUUUUCAAUCAAACUGUUGAGGGCAAAAACUAAUGAUUAUUACACAACUUUAUACAAAAAUCCGAAAUUUAAGUGGUUAGAUAAUGACAUAAAUUAAAUUAAAGAGAUGCUCCAGUCAUGACUAAUCCCUGUCCGAGCUCAAGAUUUUAACCCUUCAACCCGUGCUAUAUCUUUGGGCUAGGAUUAGGAACAUUAGAAGUUCGAUUUCUUUGACAAAGCCAUGACACGAGACGUGGCAAAGAGCAAAGGGCAAAGAGCAAAGGCAUGCCGCACUCUCCCAAAAGCGCACCCCCACCCCCCCCCCCCCCCAAAAGGGCUAAUAACGGCCCAUGGGCCCGUCCCAAUUUAGCCCUCUGCCUCUCGCCCUAUGAAAGCCCAAUCAAAAACUCCAGCCACAAAACCACGUACUUAGAUAUGAUUUAAAGUGAUCAAAAACCCUCAUGGAUGUGCCAAUUCACCUUUGUAAAAUUCACCUUUGUAAACUCAUUUAUAGUUAAUCAAUCAUCAUAUCCCUAGAUGCUCCGAGUGCGUCGCCCAUUUUGAUAUGAGCAAAUUGCAACUCUUCGUGAUGAUACAAAAGGAUGGAUAACAAAAGGAAAAUAAAUAUGAAAAAAAAUCAUUUACUCUUUUUUUGAGCAAUUUUAUUGGGUAAUCAUUGACAUGUUUAUUAUGUCUACAGAAAUUCGGCUCGAGAACUAAAUUGAAAAAAGAUGGAUUUUACUACCAUAACAGUUUUUUAGAUACGGUGAAAAUAACAAUUUACUGUGAGUCACAAUUUUUUGAAUGAAUAAAUCCCAAAAAGGAAUUUAUAAUUAUUUAUAAUUUAAUUUUUAGUGAUAAAAAAUAUGUUAUCAUUUUCAAAGUAAAUUGAAAAUAUCACGCACUCAUUUUUCAGAGAAGAUAUGUUCGUUACGUUUCGGACCGACAACAUUUUCAGAACCGACACGUGCGUCCAUGCAUUGGGCAACAAUCCCAGAGCAAGGACGGGUGUUGGGCGUUGGUGGUGAGGACGACGGAUCUUAACGCGAAAUAGGGCAUGGACUUGGAUCUACCGAAUGAUAAGAAUGCCUCUGAGAUUUUGCCUCAGUUGUAUGUAAACCUCGCCUUUUCUUCGUCAAUUGAAAAAACUCUAUCUCUCUCUCUCUCUCUCUCUCUCCCCAUCAUCCUCUUGAGUUUCUUCUGCUCUGCAGCACCGACAGCGUUCGCCUCCAUUGAAGCUCGCAGGUGAUUCUUGGUAUGUUCGCAGCAAACACUUUGUGUAAGCGGACAGCUCUUGCGUUUCUCCCUUUAUCUUCCUUUCUUCGCAUUUCAUUCGGACCCGUUGUCGGUUGCCUUGCCGCCGUUUCGUAGGCAGAUCACGUCGAGAUAUCACUGGUGGUCGAUGCCUUCAACUUGUGUUUGUUUGUUUAUUUUUUUGUUUUUCUUUUAUUAUUUUUAUUUUUAUUUUUUUUUAAGGAGAGUUUUGUUGAGCAUGGCAACGAAUUUGUGAGUGAAACUAUUGCAAGAAUUUCCGUUUCGUUUCGCAUUUUUCGACUCGACCUGUUCAAUGAACUCCCAACGCAGUCUUUCUGUUCCAGCUAUUUCUUUUCUUAGAAAAAAUGUGAAUUUUGAUUAGUGGGGGUCUUGUAACGUCUUAGUCAACUCACGAUGUUAGAAAAAAAGAAAAAAAAACUCAUGAUGAAUAAACACCCAUUUGGUUCAGCUUGGAAAAAUAUCCUCAGAAAAAUGUUUAAAGGGUUUUUCGAAAUGCAAAUAAUAUUUGAUGAAUUGAUAAAUAACUUUGGUUUAAAUGUCCAUCAAUAAAAUUGCAUUUUAUAAAAGACUUUUACUAUUUUUUUUAAAAAAAGUUUUUAACUUUUUCUUUUGAGUUCAGCGAUCAUGGCCAAAACAACUGCUGCCGGCUAUUAGGUCUGAUCGCCGAACAACAUCGCCUAAGUAGGUGAUGCCGCCUAGGUCGCGGCGAGGCAGUGCUGCCUGAGAUCACGUGGGCCCCGAGAUCACACGGCCCAAGCAUCGCCUGCCUCAUCGUGAUCAAGGCGGCGGUCGUUGGCGCGCGACCCCAAGCAAGCAUGGGGGUCGAGCACAUGGAACGAGAGAGACGUGAGGUAAAGAGAACAUGAGUGAAGAGAAAUGGAAGAGACAUUUAGAUUUUCGUUUUAUAAAAGGGCAAAAAAUGGAAUUCACUUAAAAAAUAAGGACAAGAUGCGCAACUAACAUACUUUUAUUAGACCAAGGAAGUAGCAUUUCAAAAAUGCUACUUCUCAAGUCACCUUCAGCCUUCCAUUCCCCUAAAAGGCUUUGGAGUCCAUUGAAGAUGCAAUCGCAUCUUCCCAAAGCCCUCAAAAACAUGACUGAAACACAAUUGCAUUUGUUCAAAUCCUUUUAGAAUCCCAAAGCUCCUUUUAAAUACUAAACCAAAUGAAGUCUCACUCGUCUCCAAAAAAACACACGUCAUAAAGAAAGCUAAGCCAACCACUUGGUUUCUACCAACUUUCUAAUGGAGACUAAGGUAUGGAAGCUCAAUAAAGACUUGAUUUCUUUUAACGUUCUUGUUUCUCUAAUGUGUUGUUGUAGUCUGGCAUCCUCCGGUUCGAGACACAAAUUAGCAUAAGGGCGCUCGGAUGACAUCAACGUUUUCAAGAAUGAUAAUCAAUGUCAAAGGGUCGACUAUGGUACGUCCGGCUGAGGACACGCCGAGAUGUACCUUGUGGAAUGCGAACGUGGACUUGGUGGUCCCGAGCAUGCACACCCCAUCCGUGUACUUCUACCGACCGACUGGGUUAGAUGACUUCUUCGAUUCCAGAGUGCUAAAAGAGGCGCUGAGCAGAGCCUUGGUGCUGUUUUACCCAUUGGCUGGGCGGUUGAAGAGGGACAAAAAUGGCCGAAUCGAGAUCGAUUGCAAUGCCGAGGGCGUGCUGUUUGUUGAGGCGGAGACGAGCUCGGUGGUCGAUGAUUUAGGGGAUUUCGCGACUUUGGAGCUCCGAAAGCUUAUUCCGGCUGUGAAUUACUCUAGUGGGAUAUCCUCAGACCCUGUUUUGGUGCUACAGGUGUGAUUUCUCUUUUUGAUUCUGUUCCUAGAAUUGGUUCAUUCUUUUGCUAAUGAAGGUUGACUUAAUGUGGUGAGGAUGGAUUCUUAUGAACUCUUGAUGAUACUCAUGAAGAUUCAAGAUCAGUAGGAUUAUCAGAUAGAGAUAGCUGAAAUGACGAUUUGGAAUUCCACAACCGCAAUUGAAGUGAAAACAAAAGUUGAUCAGUUAAAACUGGUGAUGACUAAUUUCUUACGAAGGGCAGUCCGUGUCUAGCAACAAACGCGAAAGUACUUAACGUAAAUAUAAUUUGUUUUCAAGAACCAUAAGCUCUUGGAUGUCCUUGUGCCCAUGUGCUUCUCAUCAUACUUUAUGAACUUUUGAAAGAACCUUGAUUUUUGACAGUUGUGUUCAAUGCUCAGAGAUAAAAUCUCUCCCAUUUGAAAAGUACAAGCGAGGGAUCCAAGUCGGUAUCUUGUACCAACUUUUUGGCUUCUUUCAGCUAUGGUUUUAUUAAACAUCUUAACUUCAAAACAUUGAAGAAGACCUUUGUCUUUGACUCAGACCAGAGAUAGUACAUGCCAGCAACAAUUAAGGGUUUCAGAUUGGUGCCUUUAGUUUGCUUCUAAGUUGAGAGACCUGGCCGAGCUUUCCUGACUCUAGGAAUUCAUGCAUCAAAAACAGACCAGAAUUUGACCCUACUAUGAGCAAAUUGAUUUAUCAAGAGUAAGCUGCUUGCAAGCUAAUGUUUGCAAGCAGUUGCCAGUUCAUCAAGUGGUUGCGUUCAAAUCAGAUUUUGGCGUUUUUAAUUUCGAUUGUUUCCUUUAUAUAGGUUACAUACUUCAAGUGUGGGGCAGUUUCGCUUGGUGUUGGAACGCAGCACCAUGUGACCGAUGGUUUUUCUGGUCUACACUUUCUGAACACAUGGUCUGAUCUGGCUCGUGGACUUGACGUCAAGCUCCCUCCAUUUAUCGACCGGACCCUUCUGCGUGCCCGUAGCCCACCACGGCCUCAAUUCCCUCAUAUCGAAUACCAGUCUCCACCUGCAUUGCGAGUUUCUCCUGAAACUACUAAUUCAGCUCCAGAUAGCUCUACUGUUUCUAUUUUAAAAGUUACUCGGGAACAGUUAGACGCCCUAAAGACACAGGCAGUAUUAGAAAAUGGAAACACCACUCGGUAUACUUCCUAUGAAAUCUUGGCAGGUCAUGUCUGGAGAUGUGCGUGCAGAGCACGCGGACUUUCUGAUGAUCAAGACACUAAAUUGUUCAUUGCAACAGAUGGACGGAUGAGAUUGUCUCCACCACUUCCGCAGGGUUAUUUUGGCAAUGGGAUCUUUACAAUCACACCAAUUGCUGUUGCAGGCGAUCUCAUAUCAAAACCAGUAUCGUAUGCGGCACAGAAGAUCCAUGAGUCAUUGGCGAGAACGAACGACGAUUACCUAAGAUCUGCCCUUGAUUACUUGGAGCUCCAGCCUGAUCUCUCAGCACUGGCUCGCGGGGCACAUACUUUUAGGUGUCCAAACCUGGGCAUUACUAGUUGGGUUAGGUUGCCCAUCCAUGACACAG